UACGAAGGGGGGCUAGCGUUGCUCGGAAUCACUGGGCGUAAAGGGUGCGUAGGCGGGUCUUUUAAGUCAGGGGUGAAAUCCUGGAGCUCAACUCCAGAACUGCCUUUGAUACUGAGGAUCUUGAGUUCGGGAGAGGUGAGUGGAACUGCGAGUGUAGAGGUGAAAUUCGUAGAUAUUCGCAAGAACACCAGUGGCGAAAGGCGGCUCACUGGCCCGGAACUGACGCUGAGAUGCGAAAGCGUGGGGAGCAAACAGG
rnacentral:rRNA from 1 species